rnacentral:rRNA from 15 species
AAUGUUUAAAAUAAAUAGGUAAAGUGAAACAUCAGAGUAACCUAUAUAGAAAAAUAAAAAUAGAUACCAUUAGUAAUGGUGAAUGAACAUGGUAAAGAAUUCUUAAAAAAUGAGUCAAAGGCGUAAGACUAUUGUGUUGCAAGUAACCAAUAAAAAUUACUUCUUUAUGUUUAAAAAGAAAUAGAGAUUUCUCCAAUAUGACUCAUUCAACUAAUCACAAACAUUUUAAAAACAAAAAAAUUCUAAAAAAUAACAUAAAUCGAUAGUAAACAUUAGUAAUGCGAAUGAAAGAUUACUACAGGUCAUCUAGAUUAGCUGUGUGUUAGAAGAAAUUGUAGACGUAAAAUCAUUCUUUGUAAAAAAUAUUUGGGUUCUCAUGGACACAUAGUAUUUAUUUAUAAAGUUAUACCUAUUGCAUCAUGGACUAAUGACUUGUGUAUAGUAGCAAGGUAAAGCUAUAAAGCAUCAGCCAAAGUGAGAACAAGUAAAACAAGAGUUACUAUGCACAAUACCCGAAACCAAACGAUCUAACCAAAACCAAACGGAAAAUCAUUGUAUUGAAUGGUUGAACCAGUGCCUGCUGCAUAAGGCUUGGACGAGUUUUGGUUAGCAGUGAAAAACCUAUCAUGUUUGGCAUAGCUGGUUCUCUGCGAAAGUUAUUUAAGUAAUGCGCUGUCAAUACUAUUUAAAUGGCUAAUAACAUCAGGUUUAUUUAUCUUGUAAAUAAUUAAAUGUUUAAAUAAUUGUAUAUUAUUUGGCAGCAGGAGGAAUAUGUGUUCUAAAUACAUAAUUCAAAAGGGAAACAACCCUAAAUAUUAAUUAAGGUGUUUAAUAUUUUUUUAGUUUAUAAAGAGUUUCCAAUAAAAAAACAUUUUAAUAGGUUUAGAAGUAACCAUUUAAUAGAGAAUGUAUAAAAGUACAAUUUUUGUAAAAAGAAAUUCUGAUAAUUAAGAGACAAUAAAAAAAUAGCCGAAAUUAUAUUUUGCAUAAGCAAAAGUAGCAGAGCUUUCUGUAGGUAUAUGAUACAUUUCUUAGAAAAAAAAAUGUUAAUGCCAUCAGUUUUGAUUAUAUUAGUAUGAGUAGCAGCAGUAUAGUAUGUAUAAUUACUAUCACCUAAAAUCUAAGCUAUU